UAUACGAAAUUUUAUCGUAGCGAACGGGUGAGGAAUGCGCAACUUUUUAUGUUUUUGUAUUUGAUAAAUUUUUUGACAAUAUAAUGACUCAAACUUUGACGUAAUGACGAAGCCGAUAACUCGGUACCAGACGGCAAAGUUUAAAAUAAAAAAUCUACCUUUUAACUCAAAAUAAACUAUACCUAUAAAAAUUUUUGAUUUUUAUAGAUCAAACGUACAGAGUAUGUUAUAGUAAUAUUGAAUAAUAGAUUUACGUCAAAAAGCUUUAUAUAUUGAAAUUUCGAUUACUUAUAAAGCGUUAAAAGAUGAGUUUGCGUAAGAUUAGGUUGUUGGUAGAAAUAAUAGUUUACCAAGCCUUUGAUCUUUAGUUGGUCUUAGAGGACGUACAACCACACUGGAACUGAGACAAGGUCCAGGCUAUUUUUGGCCAGCAGUGAGGAAUAUUGGACAAUGAACGGAAGUUUGAUCCAGCAAUAUUAUGUGAAUGAUUGACGGCUAAUUUUUGGUUGUAAAGUUCUUUCGUUAAAAAUGAUAAUGACGUUAAUUAAAGAAGUUUUA
rnacentral:rRNA from 1 species